rnacentral:rRNA from 1 species
AUAAGGAGCUUGCUCCUUUGACGUUAGCGGCGGACGGGUGAGUAACACGUGGAUAACCUACCUAUAAGACUGGGAUAACUUCGGGAAACCGGAGCUAAUACCGGAUAAGAUUUUGAACCGCAUGGUUCAAUAGUGAAAGACGGCCUUGCUGUCACUUAUAGAUGGAUCCGCGCCGUAUUAGCUAGUUGGUAAGGUAACGGCUUACCAAGGCAACGAUACGUAGCCGACCUGAGAGGGUGAUCGGCCACACUGGAACUGAGACACGGUCCAGACUCCUACGGGAGGCAGCAGUAGGGAAUCUUCCGCAAUGGGCGAAAGCCUGACGGAGCAACGCCGCGUGAGUGAUGAAGGUCUUCGGAUCGUAAAACUCUGUUAUCAGGGAAGAACAAACGUGUAAGUAACUGUGCACGUCUUGACGGUACCUGAUCAGAAAGCCACGGCUAACUACGUG